CUGUGCUGAGUUUUUCGAAGGUCAGAGCAGAUUGAACCUUUGUGCUUUCAUUUUUCCUGAUUUUGAUUUUUCUUAUGGGGAUCCACUUUUCCUGCAUUCGAGGUGACUUGAAGAAGCCUUCCAAAAAGCGUGUGAAAAGGGAGCCCUACUCUACUACCAUGUUACAGGUGACUUCAUUGAGCCCAAUCAAUGAAAUUUUGAGAAGAUACAGCCUGUACACCAACCAGCAUUGGAGGCAUCAUGGCUUCUGGAGAAAGAAGAUACAGCCACAAGAAGCCUCUGAGGAGCCUCCAGCUCACAAGGACAGAGGAGGUGGAGAGAGGCCAGUCAACGCGAGGGUGGUGCGGGUGGCCCCUCUGAGGCCUGGUUUUGCUCUUUGUGGGUACGCUGUACAAGACAUCUCUAAAGAAGACACUGUAUAUGACAUCUGUAAUGAGGAUGCUGUAGACAUCUCUGAUGAGGACACUGUAGAUAUCUCUAAUGAGGCUUCUGUACAUGACAUCUCUAAUGAGGCUGCUGUAUGUGACAUCUCUAACGAUGCCGUAAACAUCUCUAAUGAGGCUGCUGUACGUGACAUCUCUAAUGACGCUGUAGACAUCUGUAAUGAGGCUGCUGUACAUGACAUCUCUAAUGAGGACACUAUAGAAGACAUUUCUUAUGAGGACACUGUAUACGACAUCACUAAUGAGGAUGCUGUACGAUACCUCUGUAAAAAAGAUGCUACCAAGGAGCCAUUGACACUGGAGAAUGAUUUGAUUGUGGAGAGCAUGUCUGAUGACGAGGAUUUUGCAGCUUAAAGGGAGCUCCCGGGGUGAGUGAUGGAGGCGGGAUCGGACCCUGGCAGUUUGACGGCAACACCUGUGUUCCUCUGCACUGGGCCGUGGAUGACAUUACACACCUUGGUGAGAAUCAGGAAUUGAGGCUAAUCACAUCUGAAAUUGAGCUCGCUCACUGGACAGGAUAGACUGGGCGCCCAGGCCUCAAGGGCUUAUGAUUUCUUCUCGGGUUUGAAACAUGCCCCCAGAUGAGCAAGACGGGGCUGCCACAUUGACGGAGCAGCUGCGGGACACACCCAAGAAACCUCCUGGAGAACACAGGGGACAUUCACGGCUGGAGGCUUCAUCUAUGGCCGGGGGCUUCAUCCAUGAGCUGGGGACUUCAUCCAUGGGCUGGGGACUUCAUCCAUGACUGGGGACCUCAUCCACGUCUGGAGACUUCAUCCGCGACUGGGGGCUUCAUCCAUGGGCUGGGGGAUUCAUCCACGGGCUGGGGGCUUCAUCCAUCACUGGGGGCUUCAUCCACGGGCUGGGGGCUUCAUCCAUGACUGGGGGCUUCAUCCACGGGCUGGGGGCUUCAUCCAUGGGCUGGGGGCUUCAUCCAUGACUGGGGGCUUCAUCCACGGGCUGGGGGCUUCAUCCAUGACUGGGGACUUCAUCCACGACUGGAGACUUCAUCCAUAGGCUGGGGGCUUCAUCUACAGCUGGAGACUUCAUCCACAGCAGGGGCUUCAUCCUUGGUUGGUUUGCCUGAUCUGUAUCUGAGCCACAGAUACAGAUUAUUAAACAGAUAAUAAUUUUA
ensembl:lncRNA FAM230I family with sequence similarity 230 member I